rnacentral:rRNA from 1 species
GACGUAGGGCGCGAGCGUUGUCCGGAUUUAUUGGGCGUAAAGAGCUCGUAGGCGGCUUGUCGCGUCGUCCGUGAAAACCCACAGCUCAACUGUGGGCUUGCGGUCGAUACGGGCAGGCUAGAGUCCGGGAGAGGAGAGUGGAAUUCCUGGUGUAGCGGUGAAAUGCGCAGAUAUCAGGAAGAACACCCGUGGCGAAAGCGGCUCUCUGGAACGGUACUGACGCUGAGACGCGAAAGCGUGGGGAGCAAACAGG